rnacentral:rRNA from 1 species
GACGAACGCUGGCGGCGUGCUUAACACAUGCAAGUCGAACGAAGUGGCGAACGGGUGAGUAACGCGUAAUCAACCUGCCUUUCAGAGGGGGACAACAGUUGGAAAUGACUGCUAAUACCGCAUACUGAAGGAGGGGAUUGCGUCUGAUUAGCUAGUUGGAGGGGUAACGGCCCACCAAGGCGUUGAUCAGUAGCCGGUCUGGGGGGUUGAACGGCACCAUUGGGACUGGGUCACGGCCCAGACUCCUACGGGAGGCAGCAGUGGGGAAUCUUGCGCAAUGGACGAAAGUCUGACGGAGCAACGCCGCGUGGGUGAAGACAGCCUUCGGGUUGUAAAGCGCUGUUACUCGGGACGCGGUACCGGAAUAGAAAGCCACGGCUAACUACGUGCCAGCAGCCGCGGUAAUAC